UACAUGUGACAGAGCCGGAGGUCAGAGGUCAUGUGCACAGCUGGCUGACAAUAGAAAAUGUCAUUAUAGUCAGUGUCAGAAGGAGCAGUGGAAAAAUACAAUGCAGAGCAAUGAUAGAGUGGGCAAGUGAUGUUGCGCUACAGGCAAGGUGGCACUCAAUAGAAGGGAUAACUGGCUGGAGACAAUGAUGUCUGUACAGAGGAGGCUCUCUGUAUCUGCAGUGGAGCCCAAGGCAUCUGACAUCGCUGAGAACAUUGAGAAUGGUUUUAUGCUCCUGCUUUAUGGAUCAAGUCAACUCCCAGAACACCCUCAUCUUGCUAUCUGGCAUGAGGAGCAAGCUGCUGUUGGUGUCAUCAUAGAUCUCUUGUUCUCCAUCCACCUUCCCUCACACCAACCUUCCCUUCUGACUUCCUACUUUUAGUUAGCCAAGAAUUGCUGGCCAGUCACAGCAGCCCAUGGACAAAGAGAGAGAACCACUGCACAGCACUGAUGAAGAGGCCCCAUCACUGGAAUUGACUCUCAACCACCAGCUCGGGUAUUAGCACUGUAUAAUCCCUUGGAGGCUAUUAUAGAGUUGGGAUCAGCAUGUCAUGAGUAAUCUGGGCAUGAAUAGACUGCAGCCACACCAGGGGUAAAGAUUAGUUCAUUUGCCAGCUCAUCGGAGGGCCAGGUCACAGAUGAAUUAUGCUGUAGAAGACUCAAAUACGGACCCUAAUGGAGCGGCACACAGGAGAGCACUAAUGGAUAUACACAAUGAGAGGAGCCUCCUGUCAUUGUCAAGGGGCUUGACAGUCCAGCUCUGACCUGGUGGAGGGUAUGGUGCAGUAUGCAGUAUGGUGCCUCUCCAUGGCUUCUGCUCCACCUCCAUGUCCUGCUGCAGACCCUGAGGAACAGCUGCUGCUAGCCCCAUACCUGCAUACUGGUUGUAGCCUUUGUGUGGACAGUUGUGUUUCCAGGGGUGAGAAACUUCAGCUAUGAAGAUAGUUUGGAGAGGUUGGGACUGUUCUCCUUGGAGAGAAGAAGGCUGAGAGGAGAUUUGAUAGAGAUGUUCAAAAUCAUGAGGGGGCUGGACAGAAUAGAUAGGGAGAAGCUGUUCUCACUCAUAAAAGGAUCAAGAACAAGAGGACACAGUUUUAAAGUUAUUUGCAAAAGAAGCAAGUGUGAUGUGAGAAAAAACUUUUCCACACAACGAGUGGUUUGGGUCUGAAAUGCACUGCCUGGAAGUGUGGUGGAGGCAGGUUCAUUCGAGGCAUUCAAGAGGACAUUAGAUGAUUAUUUGAAUAGAAACAAUGUACAGGGGUACAAGGAAAAGGAAAGGCAAUGGCACUAAGUAAUAAUGUUCAUUUGGAGAGUAGAUGCAGACACGAUGGGCCAAAUGGCCUCCUUCUUUGCCAUUAAGAUUCUGUGAUUCUAUGAGGUCAUCUAUUCUUCUGCACCCACUUACCCCACCGAGAGGAUACAGCAAUACUCCCUAGCCAAUCCAGGAACUCAUCAUAACAUCUCCAAAGACACUCCAAAGCAUUUCCAGACACUGCAAUAAAAAAGGUUCUUAAAAAUCA